rnacentral:rRNA from 1 species
UCCAGACUCCUACGGGAGGCAGCAGUGGGGGAUAUUGCACAAUGGGGGGAACCCUGAUGCAGCGACGCCGCGUGGGUGAAGGAGUGCUUCGGCAUGUAAAGCCCUAUCGGCAGGGAAGAAGCAAGACGGUACCUGACUAAGAAGCCCCGGCUAACUACGUGCCAGCCGCCGCGGUAAUACGUAGGGGGCGAGCGUUAUCCGGAUUCACUGGGUGUAAAGGGAGCGUAGACGGCCAAGCAAGCCAGGGGUGAAAGCCCGGGGCCCAACCCCGGGACUGCAUUGGAAACUGCCGGGCUGGAGUGCCGGAGGGGUAAGCGGAAUUCCUGGUGUAGCGGUGAAAUGCGCAGAUAUCAGGAAGAACACCGGUGGCGUAGGCGGCUUACUGGACGGCAACUGACGCUGAGGCUCGAAAGCGUGGGGAGCAAACAGGAUUAGAUACCCGAGUAAGG